GACGAACGCUGGCGGCGUGCUUAACACAUGCAAGUCGAACGGAAAGGCCCUGCUUUUGUGGUGUUCUCGAGUGGCGAACGGGGGAGUAACACGUGAGUAACCUGCUCUUGACUUUGGGAUAACUUCAGGAAACUGGGGCUAAUACCGGAUAGGAUCUCCUGCUGCAUUGUGGGGGUUGGAAAGUUUCGGCGGUUGGGGAUGGACUCGCGGCUUAUCAGCUUGUUGGUGGGGUAGUGGCUUACCAAGGGAUUGACGGGUAGCCGGCCUGGGAGGGUGACCGGGGACCAUAGUCCUAAGAGAGGGCGCAGAGGCGUAUAGUAGGCAGCAGUGGGGAAUCUUGCACAGUCGGAGGGAGUCUGAUGCGACGACGUCGCGUGCGGGAUGCCGGUCUUCGGGUUGUAAACCGCAUUAGCCUGUGACGAAGCGUGAGUGACGGUAAUGGGUGAAGAAGCACCGGCUAACUACGUG
rnacentral:rRNA from 1 species